GACGAACGCUGGCGGCGUGCCUAAUACAUGCAAGUCGAACGCUUUGAUUUUCACCGGAGCUUGCUCCACCGAAAAUCAAAGAGUGGCGGACGGGUGAGUAACACGUGGGCAACCUGCCCAACAGAGGGGGAUAACACUUGGAAACAGGUGCUAAUACCGCAUAAUUUGUUUUCCCGCAUGGGAGAAUAAUAAAAGACGCUUCGGUGUCACUGUUGGAUGGGCCCGCGCUGCAUUAGUUAGUUGGUGGGGUAAUGGCCUACCAAGACUGUGAUGCAUAGCCGACCUGAGAGGGUGAUCGGCCACACUGGGACUGAGACACGGCCCAGACUCCUACGGGAGGCAGCAGUAGGGAAUCUUCGGCAAUGGACGAAAGUCUGACCGAGCAACGCCGCGUGAGUGAAGAAGGUUUUCGGAUCGUAAAACUCUGUUGUUAGAGAAGAACAAGUGGGAGAGUAACUGUUCCCACCUUGACGGUAUCUAACCAGAAAGCCACGGCUAACUACGUGCCAGCAGCCGCGGUAAUACGUAGGUGGCAAGCGUUGUCCGGAUUUAUUGGGCGUAAAGCGAGCGCAGGCGGUUUCUUAAGUCUGAUGUGAAAGCCCUCGGCUCAACCGAGGAAGGUCAUUGGAAACUGGGGAACUUGAAUGCAGAAGAGGAGAGUGGAAUUCCAUGUGUAGCGGUGAAAUGCGUAGAUAUAUGGAGGAACACCAGUGGCGAAGGCGACUCUCUGGUCUGUAAUUGACGCUGAGGCUCGAAAGCGUGGGGAGCAAACAGG
rnacentral:rRNA from 1 species